rnacentral:rRNA from 1 species
GUCGAACGCUGGCGGCGUGCUUAACACAUGCAAGUCGAACGGAAAGGCCCUGCUUUUGUGGGGUGCUCGAGUGGCGAACGGGUGAGUAACACGGGAGUAACCUGCCCUUGACGUUGGGAUAACUACAGGAAACUGGGGCUCAUAUCGGAUAGGAGCUCCAGCUCCAUGGUGGGGGCUGGAAAGUUUCGGCGGUCGGGGUUGGACUCGCGGCUUAGCAGCUUGUUGGUGGGGUAGUGGCUUACCAAGGCGUUGACGGGUAGCCGGCCUGAGAGGGUGACCGGCCACAUUGGGACUGAGACACGGCCCAGACUCCUACGGGAGGCAGCAGUGGGGAAUAUUGCACAAUGGGCGGAAGCCUGAUGCAGCAACGCCGCGUGCGGGAUGACGGCCUGCGGGUUGUAAACCGCUUUCGCCUGUGACGAAGCGUGAGUGACGGUACUGGGUAAAGAAGCACCGGCUAACUACGUG